rnacentral:lncRNA from 1 species
AGGAAAGCCUCAUCAAGAAGGACAUGUUUGAGCAAAGCCCUGAAAAAGGAAGUGAAGGAGGGACCCACGUGCACACCUGCAGAGUCUGGCUGGGUCAGCGCCUGGUGUACUGGAGGACCAGCAGGAGAUGGUAGCGUACUUCUCUACAUCCUGUUUUAUUCCAGUAGCAAGAUGUCUGGGAGCUACUUCUGUAUCCGUCCAGGUCAAGGACAGAGCGUGCCUCCCAGCCACCCGGCACCUGCCCCUGCUCGCUCCCGAUGCCUGCAGUUCCUGGACUUCCCAGCAGAGGGAGACACCACUCUGCUCGCAAGACCACCCAGGGGGUCUUCCCAGGGACUGCAGUCUUGAAACGUGUGGGCAAGAGAUGCUGUCUGCCCAGACAUAAAGACCCUCUUAACUGGACUGGGAUCCCCCUUAACUGGACUGGGAUCCCCCUUAACUGGACUGGGAUCCUUGCCCUCGGGUCUCCCCUUACCCUGUUUCUAUCCCCGCCUGAACCUCCUGUUUUGACUGAGCCCCACCCUGAGUGCCCUCUCCUCUCCUUAUAGGGACUGUCCCCUCCUUAAUGGGGUGGGGAGAGGCCUUGUCCGAGUCUGGGGCCAGGGACUGAGAAACUGCCCAAGGGCACCACAUAAAGACAGCAUGUAUCUGGGUGCCCCUCCCUGCUGAGAACCGGGGGGGGGGGGGGCCCUUUCUCCUUGCCCCCAGCACGCAGCCCCCAGCAGAGUCUUGACCUCGAAAUCCGCUUUCCCUCCCUACAGUCCACACUCCCGCCAGGAUCCUCUCCCUGGCCCGGCCCCUGUGCCCCUCCGCCCCACCCCCGCUGUGGUGUUGGGGUCGCCUGGAGUCCAGCUGGUGGCCAGUGCAGAGCCACCCCUUCCUGGCCCUGCCCCUCCCCAUGACCCCAAUCCUCCGCCAGCCACUCAAAGGCGCCUUGUUCUCCAUCCAGCCCCCAGACAAAAGUCCCUCUGUCUGAAAAGACGGAAUUGGGGGGAGGGGGCACCCCAACGGAGACCGUGUGGGGGCCUGCACAGACCCCAGCCGGAAGGAAUGCCAU